AUCUGAUAGUGUUGUUCUCUGCUGCUUCUGGAUCUCUGUUGAUUGUUGUUGCAGUCAUUGGGAUCUUCUGCAUCUGCAGGAAAUGUAGAAAAACAGUUCAGACCCGGGAGGAAGACAGAAAUAAUUCAGCAUCCUGUCAACAAAAAACACAAAAAAUGAAAUCAAAGAAGGAGG